rnacentral:lncRNA from 1 species
GCCUCCCAAGUCGCUGGGAUUACAGGUGCCUGCCACCAUGCCCAGUCCUUCUGACCCUCGUGGCUUCUCCUGCUCCAAGGCCAAGCUCGGGACCCUGUCAUCAUCCCCGGGGACAGGCCCCAUCUUAGAGAGGAUCCACCCAGCUCCCCGCUCCUGAGCCAUCUUCCAGCUAUCCCGCCUCGAGACUCCCACCGCACCUGCUCCUGGGCUGCAGCUGCACCCAACAAGUCAACAUGUGGAUUGCUUCUAGAAUUUGGAUAUUAUGAACACUGCUGUGCUGAACAUUCUUGUACACUUAUAUGGUUUGGCUGUGUCCCCACCCAAAUCUCAUCUUGAAUUGUAGCUCCCAUAAUUCCUAUGUGUCGUGGG